rnacentral:lncRNA from 1 species
GCAUGUGUAUCAUUCCCCUAUGGUUUAUAACCCCUGAGUCUGGGGGUAAUGGCACGGGGACCCACCAGCUUGUCUGCCGCCAUCUGGGAGUCUUUUCUAAGGCACCAACUACUUCCUUCAAGCAGCAGCCAGAGAUCUUUGCUUAAUGGCUGAGAAACACAGAGGAGAGACCCAGAGAGAAGGAGAAGGCCGCAUGAAGAUGGAGCAGAGACUGGAGUUAUUCAGCCAAGUCAAGGAAUGCCUGGAGCACCAGAAGCCGGAAGAGGCAAGGAAGGAUCCUCCCUUAGAGCAUUUGGAAGAGUGUGGCCCUGCCAACACCUUGACUUCAAACUUCUGGCCUCCAUAACUAUGAAAU